AACGGCCGCGGUAUUUUGACCGUGCAAAGGUAGCGCAAUCACUUGUCUUUUAAAUAGAGACCUGUAUGAAUGGCAUAACGAGGGCUUAACUGUCUCCUUUUUCCUAUCAAUGAAAUUGAUCUCCCCGUGCAGAAGCGGGGAUUAAAACAUAAGACGAGAAGACCCUAUGGAGCUUUAGUCGCAAGAACAGAACAUGUCAAUUCUUAAAAUCAAAAUAUGAAAUUAAUUGAACCCUGCUCUAAUGUCUUUGGUUGGGGCGACCACGGAGUAUAAAAAAACCUCCGCGAGGAAUGAAGAUACCUCUUCCCAUCUAAGGGUGUCAACCCUAAGAACCAGAAUUUCUGACCACUCUGAUCCGGCAAAGCCGAUCAACGAACCGAGUUACCCUAGGGAUAACAGCGCAAUCCUCUUCUAGAGUCCAUAUCGACAAGAAGGUUUACGACCUCGAUGUUGGAUCAGGACAUCCUAAU
rnacentral:rRNA from 1 species